GGGGCCUCUUAAGAGAACAGAAUGACAGCCCACGGGGUGCAGCAUCAGCCCCAAGGGGACCCUUUCCACUUCUCCACACUGCGGCUGCACGGUGGAGGUGUCUGAGUCCUAGAAAGAGGCACCACUCCCCCAGGCAGCCGCAGCCUUCUGUUACCUCGCCAAGCAGCCCUGCCUGCCGCCUCUGUCCUAAGUGUGUGGCCUGCUUGAUGGCCUUAGAACAGGUGAGGAAACAGAGCCGCAGAAAUGGAUCAGUCACAUCUGGCCUCCAUGACAGUCCUUCCAACCAUACCAUGCUCCGGAGAGGGCCAGAGAGAAGGCAGGAGCACAAGGACCUCCGUGUCGCUGAGAAUGGCUGUGGUGCUUUUCAGGACAGCCCUGGUCUUUGUUGUGAGUAUUGACUUCUUUGCUCCAGUGUAGAACCUUCAACCUACCAGCACAGCUCCUUCACCCUGCUGGCAUAGACUUUCUAGCUUCCACCGCUGACCUUUGGGCCUUCUCAUCAUGGAUCCAUAAAAGAGACUGGUGUAAGUCCUUUUUGUGGGCUCCAGACCUCCAGUUGGACUCAUGGGAGGCAUUGUCAUGAGUGCUGGGUCUUCAUUUGGACUCAUGCAAGACAUUGCUGUGGGAUCCAGGCCCUUGGCAAAAUAUUCUGAGUCUUUAGUGUUGUGGACAGAUUUCCUGCCCUUUCCUGUGUUAACUCUGGGUGACCAUUAUAAAAUAAUAUUAUAAAAUUCUAUGUCCUAAUUCUGGUUGUUCUCUUUACAACUCUUGACUACAACAUAGUCCAUAGAAAAUAAAUUGAUGAGUCCACAGGAUUUAUUCAGCACCCUGUACACACCUGUCAUUAUUGCAAUUUGAUCUUCACAUAACCCUACCAAGAGGAUACAUACUACCCUUAACAACAUUUUGCAGAUAAGGCAUCUGGGGUUAACUAACUUGCCUGAGAUCAUCAAUGGGUGAGAAUCAAAGCCAAGAGCCAAGUCUGAGGAGGUCUUAUGCUGAGCCUUAGCUUUACCUGCUAGGGGACCUGGGGGGAGACAAUGCAUCCAUGGGUGCGAAGUUCCCUAUGUCAGUAAAUGGGAUUGCACACACACUCUGCCCUCCAGCAGAUCCUCCUGGCUCAGUUUCCAAUCUGGCCUUUUCCCCGUCCUGUGUAACUUUCUCCUUGUCCAAACCCUGGGUGGAUCCCUGCUGGAUGAUUCCCACAUCUCCUGCAUCUCUGCCUUGCCCUCACGGUCCACAUAUGCACAGCCCAGGAUUCCUGGGUCCAAGACAUUAGUAAAAUGUCCUUGACAGUGUUACAAGGGGAGCGAAACCUGUGUAACAAAAAUAUUUAAUGGAUUUCCCAGCCCCUCCCUCCACCCCAGCCAG